CCGAGUACCCUGCUUUUUGGUCAUCUCACCCACCGUUCAAAACCUGUCCAGGAUGCUGCCUCAUUUGGAAGCCUCCCCGACCCAUCCGUAGCCCAGAAAAGUUAAGCAUUUCUGUUAACGUUGAAGCAUCCCCCAAGGUCGUAUUGUUGUUCUUAUUACACUCUGUUCCCUCGUAUUUCCUUUUCCAAUGAAGCAAUGAGGGUAGGGACGGUCUUCUGCGUCCCAAUGUCUUCCAUGGUGCUCAGGAAUUGGGGCGCUUAACAAAUAUUGUUUAGUGGAUGAUUCAAUGAAUUCAUGAGUGAACAGACUAGGUCGGACAGAUCUCAUGGAAGGAUAGGAAGUUGGGUUUGGCUUUGAAGUACUGCUCAGAGUUAGAGGGGCAGAGAAGAGAGCAAGGAUGUUCCCAAUGGAGACCACUCGAGGAACAAAGACCUGAGGCAAGAUGGGGAUCCUCACGUCAGUGACCUAGAAGAAGGCCAGGCUGUGGUAGUUUCCAGUUCAGGGAGCAGUUUGAUACAAGGCUGAAGUUGGAAGCAGAAAGCCACGAUGUAGCCCCUGCGGGUCCCAGAUUUCUCAGAUGACACUCAACUAUUCCUCUUGUAUUUGGGGCUGCUGCUCCUUAAGACUUCCUCUUUGACCUGGAACUUGCUGUGCUGAUUCAUGCCUCAGUCACUGCCAGUCGGGAUUUUUCUCCAAAGUACUAUUCUAGAAACCCCCACUCCCCCCAAGGCAGACACUUCAGCUGUCAUUAGAUGCUUAUUAAGGGAGUGAGUCAGGGUGGUGGCUUAAGACACAGUUUCCAUCCUGCUUCCAUGCCCCCUUCCUCUCAUACCCCUGCCACGCUAUUUCAAGCACUCAAACUCACAAGCUUUGUGGGGAGUGGAAAGAACAUGAGGUCUGAGCUUCCAGACUUCUUGACAAAUCUGUUCUGCAGUUCAUUUGCUAGGUGAACUUGGAUAGAGUGCUUAUACACUCUGGGCUUCCGUUUCCUCAACAUAAUGCGAGGCUGUUGUAAGGACUGAAUGGGGUCAAGCAUAAAGGGCUCUGCAUAGGAUUUGGGGUACAGCGGGUAUGCAGGAAGUACCAACCGUGCCUGUGGUUUGAGGCUCAUAUGCUCUGAUUCUCCCCACUUCAGGAUAGAGAUGACAGAGCCAUUUUGAUGUGGGUCUCCAACAGGAUCCUGGGAAAUCAUUCCCUCUUUCCUUCCUGGUUGCCAGGUAUGGACCAUCCCUGCAAAAUUCCUUUCUGUGGUUCUCCGGGGUGGGAGGGACUCAGCUCAACUGCUCUGGAAACAGGAACCAUUCACAGCUUCCUGGUCAGCUGCCAGACCCCAUACCACAAGGCCACAAGAGCUGGUUUCUGCUUGGUGGAUUUCACUGAGUUGUCUGUCCUGACACAGAGACUCGGGUCUUUCUUCGUAUCAACUCUGUGCUGACAUGAACAGGCACCACAGCAAGGACCUUUUACCCGAAUGCCCUACUCAGAGUUGAUGAGGCUGUUUGUGGAAUUUGCUCGUUUCCUGACAUCUAGAUGGGCUGUUGGCCUCUGCUGAAGGACUCAUCCAUCUAGCAGCCCUUGACUCUUGUGCGGAGUUCCUACUCUCCCUUCGAUUUCCCCACCAGGUGCUCAUUCUAGCAGUCCCCUUGGGCACAACCAUGCACUAGCAUUUUCCUGCCUCUUGUACAUCCAGCUCGCUCCCAGCAACACUUAGAGUCUGUUCUCCUUUUGCCCAUACCCUGUGUCCACAGCACUCGAAGGUGUCCUGUUGGGGACCUCAUCAGCCCAGCGAUUCUCUGUUAGACUUGAACUUCCUGUUGUUAAGAGUUAAUGGCAUACAUAUGCCAUCCUUCUUCCUAGGCAAAAAGAACCACUCUCACUCCCAAAAAAUUAGCUCUAAGGGAGGGAGCUGAGGCACUGAAGUGAGAGUCAUAAAACCACUCAUGGGUUUUGUAAUCUUGGGCAAAUCACUUCACUUCUUUGAGCCACAAGCAUCCAUAUUUGAAAGGGUGGGACUGAUGCUAAUUGCCUCGUGUCCCUCCUCCCUCCACUCGCCAUUCACUGUGAGAAUCAAAUGAGAUAAUGUCUGUGAAAGUGCUCUGUAAACCAGAAGCUAUUAUUAUGAGGAGCCGACCCAUUAUUAUUAAGAACUGGUUUUCCUGGUCCUCCUAGCUCUCCCUCCCUCUUCAUUCCCUAUACUGGCUUAAGGCUGAAGCUCUGCAGAGGGAUACCUUUGGGGCCAGAAAUUAGAAAAAUUCUGCUCUGCUUACCAAGAGAGUCUUCUGAAUUGCUAUGAUUUGAGCUUGUGGAAUCAAAGAAGAAGGAUACAGGGUUCUGACACCAGAAUCUUUCUUGGCUUGGCUUUUCAAUUUUCUUUCUUUCUUUCUUUCUUUCUUUCUUUCUUUCUUUCUUUCUUUCUUUCUUUCUUUGUUCUUUGUUCUUUCUUCCUCAUGCCCAGUGCAGGGGGGCUCCAACUCAUGACCAAGAUAUCAAGACCUGAGCUGAGAUCAAGCAUUUGACACUUAACGACUAAACCAUGCAGGCACCCCUUGGCUUGGCUUUUUAAUAUCUUAGGGGCAGCUACCAUGUCAAGCUCCACCCAGUAUCUGGAAAGAGAACCCAAUUCAUCUGGGUGUCCUGGGGCUGCUUCCAGUGUGGGUGGACUUGGAAGGUGUGGCUCCUGAUUUUCGUGGCUCUGUCCACUCUCUGUGUCCCAUUGCCAUUCUCUUGUUGGGGCUACCACCAUUUCCCGGAGGCCUCCGCCUCCAGGCUUGCUCCCCCUUAGUCCACUCAUGUUCCCAGUGACCUCUCUGAAUGCCAAUCUCUUCAUAUUACUUGUUGGCUUAAACCCUGCAUUAUGGGUCCACAUAGUCCUCAAGGUAAAGUCCCAUUGUUCUACCAGGGCUCCUGCUGAAUUUUCUGGACUCACCAUGACCUCUCACCCUCUCCUUCUUAACUCCUAAGUAAUUCUGCUCACCCAGGACCUUGUUCUCUGUUACCACCUCCUCUUUCUGUAGGGCUCAGCUUUCUGUAGAUGCCACCAGUUUAUGAAGCUUACCCUGACUCCCCUGUAAGGUGUUCCCAUCACAUCUUGCUUUUCUCCUCUGUUAUGGACUUUUCACCCUUAAUUAUCAUCAUGUAUUAGGAUCUGUCUCCUGCCAGAAUCUGGAAGCUCCGUUAGGCCAGCCACCACCAUGUUCUUGCUCAAUCAUAGCCAUGGCACCUAGUCUAGGGCCCAGCAAUGAAUGAAUGGGUGAAUGGAAUGUGUGAGUCAGUCAGUGUUCCACACUUUGUCUCUGGGAGCUGGGGUGCCCAAAGGUCUUGGGUAAACUUCGGUGGGCUCAUUUCAGAGAAGAACUAAUAUGUUCUGAAGCAAAGUCUGAAAACUUUGAUGUGUUUCUUCUAGACCUUUCUUUCAGCAGGUGCUCAACAUUUAUUGAGCAUAAUCUGUGCUGGGCUCCGUGCUGAGCAUUUUACAGGAGUUGGUUCCUUUGAUGUUCAUGAGCAUGCUCAGAAGUGGAUGCAGUUAUUAUCCUGCCUGUGGUUCAGAGUGGUUGAGUCACUAGCCCAAGGUCACACAGCCAGCAAGUGAAAGAAUAUUCUUGAGCCCAAGUCUGGUUUCCUCUAAACUCAUGCUUUUCAUCACUAUACCUGGAUGUAAGUGUUUUGUUAUCUGAAAGACCUGGGUCUCAAUUUCCAGAACUUACCAGCUGUGUGAACUGAGAGAUCUGAAACAUACUCAAACACAGACUUCCUCGCCCAUGCUACAAAUGUUUUGUGACUUGAAUGUUCAUGAAACUUUCGUGAGGAAAAUAAAAGGUGAUACUACUUGCUAGGCUCUGUGCUACGUACUGUACGUCGUGUGGGCACAAAAGAGGAAGUGACCAGUUGUCCGUAGACCUGCGGCAGGGCCAGGCUUUCAGCACGAGGAACUCAGCGGGUCUGAAUGAAUCAUCAUGAGGAAGCAUAACUUGUUGAGGCUUCCCAAGACACGGAAAGGAAUCUGGCCGACCUCUGUGUUGAAGCUUUACGAGACAGGUGUGAGCGGUAAGAGACCUACCGUAUAUUUUCUCUCCGACUCUUUGUUUCCUGGUAAUGGUGCACCUUCUCCACGUACACGAAGCUAGUCUGUGGUGAGAAAAAUCAGCAUUUGGAAGACCGGAACUUCACUUGUCUCCUAAGAAGAACCUUACUUUUAUGUUGGGUGUGAAACCAGGAGCAUGUGCUGUGGCAGCAUUGAGAAGAGGGAUGUCAGGCUUCUCUAGACCUGUCCACCCACAAAGCCAUUGUCACUUCAGGCAAGCCUCCUCACCAUUCCGGGCCUCCUGCUCUCUAACACGAGCAUUUAAAUACCCACCCACAGCAUUUAGAUGGUUAUUGCAAGUAAAAGAUGAAAUUAUUUCAUUGUAAUUAUUAUUAUGGUUACUUACUAUGGUCUCAGAGGAGAGUUCUUUAAGAUGCUGGAACUCUCUUGGGUCCAGGAGCAUGAGAACGAUUGUUCUUCUAUGACCAGUUCUUUCCAACUCUCCACAUAAAUCCAAACCAAAUGAAAAGGAUAUAUUUAAAAACAUUUCUUACUUGACCACCGGGAGCUCUGAAUGGGCUAGUGUAGAAGUUUGGGUCCUCUGAGAAGUACACACUAAGACAGGGUUAGAUGCCUAAGAGGGUCAUUGGAGGAAACACCUGUGAAGAGAAAGAGGGAGGAAGUAGGGGGAGGCAGGGAGAGACUUUAGACCCUGAUGUGGGUCUCACACCUGUGAAAGGAGAGGAAGAAGGAAGGAGACCAGGAAGAAAGAGUCUGAAACUGAAGUACAUUUCUAAGAUCCAGUGUUUGGACAGAGACCAAAUUGCCUAUGAGAGCAGUUCUGUGCCCCAGAGAAAUGAGCCUGGGCUUAUACCCUCGUCAUGCUUAGUCAUUGGCAGGGAGCAGCCUGUGGGAGGUGUGACCUUGGCAUGAACACAGUGGCGGAUCCAGCACUGGGACAUUCAGUCAACUAUGUUUCCCAUCUCAGGAGACGUGAGCAGUACAUUUUCAUGGCUACCCAGCAAACUGUGAGACAUUUCUUCCUUGAGAACACAUCGUAAGGACUUUGAAAAACAAACCAGAACAUUUGUGAUAGUAUAGAUUUUGCACCCCAAAUCAAUGUUCCAUUCCCUUCUUUGACUUUCACUUCCCCCUCUGUUUCAGCUAGACCAAUCAUGUUGAAAACCCCACCCAGGUUUGUAGAGUUCCUCAUUUGACAAUUAAAAAAAAUUUAUGUGACUGAGUUACAUGUGCUUCCUUUGUUUUAUCUUUUCAAUGAGUUGUUUUCAUUUCUUGGGUUUUCUUUGAUUUCAUGUUUUUCCUAUCUUUACCCAUCCACCAUCGCCUGUUCAUACUGUAUUGCUGAUGCCUGAUGUGGUAUUUGUGGAAUAAAUGGACCAAUAAAUUAGUGAACGGGCUAUAAGAGUCAAACCUUCUUCAUGUCUGAGAGCUCCUUGGUGUCAGGGUCUUUGUCUUAGGGUGAUGACAUAUAAUGGAAAGACCAUAGGUUUUGUUCUAUGAUUAGACACAAAUCAGAUGUGUGAUCUUGGGCAAAUUGCACCACCUAUGUGAGCCCAGGUUUCUUUUUUUGACUAAUCAAGCCAAUAAUAGUAUCUAUCUUGUUGAAAUGUAAAUGACAGAGUGAUAAUAAAUGUAAAGUUCUGGGCAUAGUGUCCAGCACAUUAGAGAUGCUGAACAAAUGACAGGUAAUGAACGAAUGGGCCUGAAGAAUGUGUAACACAUAAUGUAAUACAUAAUACAUAACUCAUUAGACUUUGCUCCUUUCCCCGCCCUCCUGAAAGUCCCCUGUCCAUAUCUAGUGACAAAGGAUCCAGGCGAGAACAGGUAGAUGGAUAAAGGAUUGGAACAUAGCAGCAAACAGGCCAGUGUUGAGCACUUACUGUGUGUGCAGCUACUGGGCUAAUCACUAUGAGACAAGUGGAGAUGACUGAGGUAUACUCCACGUCCUCAAAGAGGUGGCAUUUCAACAUGGCAUUAGGUGUUUGAAGGUAUUGAUGGAUGGACACCUGGGGUGCAAGACAGCAUCAUUAUAGGAUGAAUAGGAAUAGUGUUUUGGAAAAUGUUGAGCAGACUGGGAUGUGGGGAAACAGAGGGAAAGACGUAGCUCGAAAGUUAGUUGAGAGGGGAAUCCAACAUGGCAGAGAAGUAGGGGGACCCCAAGUUCCCUCGUCCCUCAAACACAGUAGCGUUGAGGCCAGAGGACUUGGAAUUCCAAGAGUCUGGACUUCAGAGUGACAGAGACGUCUCCAGGAGCCCAUGGGGACAACCUGGUGGGCCAAGAGGUGCGUGAUUGGGAACUGGGAGAGAGAAAACGGGCAUAGGCACCACCCAUAGGAAGGGGAGGGAUUCCCUUCUGCGGACAGAGGAAAGAGAAAGAGAGGUUGUGCAAGUGUAGGACUGUAUUUGGACAAGUGAAAAACCACAGACUGGGGGUCAGGAAAAAAACAAAAUGGAGAAAGAGCCAAUCUCUAACUGCAGGCUUUCUCCCGACUGGGGCCCCAGCUGCCCUGUGUGUGCACCUGCGGAGGAGGGGAGCCAGCCCUGGGCUCAGUACCUAGCUCAGAGGCGCAGUCCGCAGUGGGAGAAAGCGAUGCCCUCCCUGGAGUGCUGUGGGAAGAAGCAAGGUGGGGCUUCAGGGAACAACAGCAGGGGCACGGUGGAGGGGGACCCCCUCCCCGCGCCUGGGAACUAUGUAUCUACCUGAGAUCGACACUGACCAAUCAGACAGCCCCUCCAGACCAGAGCUGCCACUGGAUCCAAGGCACCCAGCGGGGCUACUUUGAUGAACACAUCAAAGCACACCUGGUGGAGGGUCCAAAACAUCACUACAAGCACGGAGAUAAAGGAACCAGAGUCACAACAGCAGAGAGCACGGAACACACUCUGAAAACCACCUCCUGAGGGGCCGAGCCCUAGGCAGUGCGUGACCCCUCUUUAAUAUAGUAGUGCUCGCAGGUACGGGACACAUAACAAGCUUUUAAAACACCUAAGGGACAGAAAACUAGCCAAAAUGAUGACACGGAAGAAUUCUCCUCAAAAGAAAUUCCGGGAAGAAACGACAGCUAAAGAAUGGCUCAAAACAGAUGUAAACAAUAUAUCUGAUCAAGAAUUUAGAGUAACUGUCACAGAAAGUUAGUUGGGAUCAAACCCAUGAGGACUCUGAAUGUCCAGCCAAGGAAACUGGAUUUGAUUCUGUAGCUACUGGUAUGUCAAUAAAGGCUCUUGAAGAGAUAAAUGGAAUGACCCAGCUAGCAACUGGAAGGACGAAGUGAGAGUGAACACCUGAAAAUGGCAUGUCCAAAUAACCCCAAAGCAACAAGGAAUUGGAGACCUGGAGAAGUUACGUAACGUGCUUACAACCACACAGCUAGUCAUCGCAAGACCGGGAUUUGAACCCACGCUUGGACUCUGGAGGCCAAGCCUUCACAGUGACACUCUGUUCGAAUAAUGAUCGUCAAAGAAGCUUACAGGUGGAUACUGCUUCUUUCAUAAGGACGGUCUCACUUUGUCCAUGCAGCAGCCCUGUGAAAUCGAGGCUAUCAUCAUUACUCCACAGGUGUGAAACGGGGGUCAACAAGCUGAAGAAACUGGUCCAAAUUGGCCCUGCGCCAGAAUAGUGGAGUCCGACCGUUGUGCCACUGGGCUGGGGAUCGAUUACUGCUCCUGUGAUGUUCCUGGCUCCGCUCUGCUUCUACUAGCCCCUCCCUCGCGGAGCAUGCCCUCUCUGAGGACCCCAGUUGAGUCCCGGUGUGGUUUUGUUUGUUUUGACAGUUCUCUUUUCUCUCUCAUUCUCUUCAAUACUCUAUGAUGCAUGAAACUCAUUGUUUCUAUAGGCAUCACGCGGUUCUGCAGAGCUUAGCGUGAGCUACAGUGGGCUUCUAGCCUGGGGAGGGUCACUGGCACUUAAGGACAUCAUCGUUGGAAGGAUGGCUCCAGGUGAAUUCAACUUCUGAUGUCAAGGUCACCUCCUACCUGGGUGUUGAGCUCACCUUGAUUCACACUUCCUCAGAAGGAAACACAAGGCUGUCCGUAGAUGGAGUUUGCACGAAGUCAUUGCUCCCUGCAAAUUUUAGAAAGGCACCCUGUUUCCUGUUGUUUGUGGUUUUGAACUCUCCAUCACCUGGCCUUGAUGAACCUGUCUAAACCCUCCAGACUGCAGUCUGUCACUUAUGUCAUUUUUUUCUCUGGGCUGUCAUAGCACCCUGUGCUUGAGAUAUUCCUUUGACUAGAACUCCCCUGUGUUAACCUUUGGCUUGGCUACCAUGGUUUCAGCUAAGAUGUGACCUAUCACACAAAAUCUUCCUUGACUUCCUAAACCGCACAUCUCUCCCAUGUCAUGGAAUCUCUUUGAAAAAAAGACUCUCUGUGGGGGCACCUGGGCACCUGGGCUCAGUCGCUUAAGCAUCCGACUUUGACUCAGGUCAUGAUCUCACGGUUAG